AGUGAACGCUGGCGGUAGGCCUAACACAUGCAAGUCGAACGGCAGCACAGUAAGAGCUUGCUCUUACGGGUGGCGAGUGGCGGACGGGUGAGGAAUACAUCGGAAUCUACUUUUUCGUGGGGGAUAACGUAGGGAAACUUACGCUAAUACCGCAUACGACCUACGGGUGAAAGCAGGGGAUCUUCGGACCUUGCUCGAUUGAAUGAGCCGAUGUCGGAUUAGCUAGUUGGCGGGGUAAAGGCCCACCAAGGCGACGAUCCGUAGCUGGUCUGAGAGGAUGAUCAGCCACACUGGAACUGAGACACGGUCCAGACUCCGACGGGAGGCAGCAGUGGGGAAUAUUGGACAAUGGGCGCAAGCCUGAUCCAGCCAUACCGCGUGGGUGAAGAAGGCCUUCGGGUUGUAAAGCCCUUUUGGUGGGAAAGAAAAGCAGCAGGUUAAUACCCCGCUGUUCUGACGGUACCCAAAGAAUAAGCACCGGCUAACUUCGUG
rnacentral:rRNA from 1 species